UACGUAGGGGGCGAGCGUUGUCCGGAGUUACUGGGCGUAAAGGGCGCGUAGGCGGUGCAGUAAGUUUGGAGUGACAGUGCCUGGCUUAACCGGGCAAGGCCUCUGAAAACUGCUGGACUGGAGGGCCAGAGAGGGACAUAGAAUUCCGGGUGGAGUGGUGAAAUGCGUAGAUAUCCGGAGGAAUACCAAAGGCGAAGGCAGUGUCCUGGCUGGUACCUGACGCUGAGGCGCGAAAGCUAGGGGAG
rnacentral:rRNA from 1 species